rnacentral:rRNA from 1 species
GAUGAACGCUGGCGGCGUGCCUAAUACAUGCAAGUCGAGCGAACGGACGAGAAGCUUACUUCUCUGAUGUUAGCGGCGGACGGGUGAGUAACACGUGGAUAACCUACCUAUAAGACUGGGAUAACUUCGGGAAACCGGAGCUAAUACCGGAUGAUAUUUUGAACCGCAUGGUUCAAAAGUGAAAGACGGUCUUGCUGUCACUUAUAGAUGGAUCCGCGCUGCAUUAGCUAGUUGGUAAGGUAACGGCUUACCAAGGCAACGAUGCAUAGCCGACCUGAGGGGGUGAUCGGCCACACUGGAACUGAGACACGGUCCAGACUCCUACGGGAGGCAGCAGUAGGGAAUCUUCCGCAAUGGGCGAAAGCCUGACGGAGCAACGCCGCGUGAGUGAUGAAGGUCUUCGGAUCGUAAAACUCUGUUAUUAGGGAAGAACAUAUGUGUAAGUAACUGUGCACAUCUUGACGGUACCUAAUCAGAAAGCCACGGCUAACUACGUG